UUAAAUUUUUCCUGAACUAAAAUAGAGUAAGAAUCCUGUAAACAUGCUUUCGGGCCAUGCUUUCGUUUAAAAUAAGUCAGGAUGGAUACGUACAUCCAUACAUACACAUGUAUAUACAAUUUUGUAAAUACUUAUAUUGUAAAUACUUAUAUUUCACAUAUAUACCUAUAACUAUAUAUUAUAUAUACCUAUAUUUCACAUAUAUAAAGGGAGAUAGAUAUAGAUAUACACACAUUUGUGUGGCAGGAUAAAUAUAAACAGAAAGAAACAGCAGGAUGGAAAUAUUUUAUAGAUACAGACAUAGAUAUAGAAAACUCCUGGCCCUGGCCCUCUCCUCUUCCCUGCACUCUCCUGCCCAACAUAUAUAUACACACACACACACAUAUAUGUAUUUAUUUCUACACACACAUAUAUACAUACAUAUACACGCACACACACAUAUAUGUGUAUACAGUAUGUCCUCACUUAAAGUCAUAAAUAUGUUGAUAGGUUCUUAGAAACUACAACUUUAAGUGAAAAGAUGUAUGGUAGGUCCUCAAACAACGUCGUUUCCUUCAACAUUAUCUGGUUAUAAUGUUGAUGAGAAAAAACACCGGCUCUGCCGUAUGUCUUUCUCUUAAAGUCGCAGUUUCCAAGAGCCUAUUAAUGACAUUAAGUGAGAAAUUAUACAUCCUGCCACUCUUUCUUUUUUACAUCUCAUAUUUACACCAUUUACAUGUAAAGUAAUUACUGAUAUGUCAGAGUUUAAUUCUGCUAUGUUUUUAUUUGUUUUUUUUUUCUCUGCUUCUUGUUCCUCUGUGUCUUUUUGUGUCCUCAUGUGGGAUGCAUGAAAAGGUUUUAGAAUUCCAUCUUUUAUCAUCUUAUUGAGCACAUUGCAUUGUAUGGUUUUCUUAGUAGAUGCUCUAGUUAUUGUAUGUGUGUGUGCGUGUGUGUGUGUGUGUGUGUGUGUGUGCGUGUGUGUGUAUAAAAACAGAAAGUCUAGUUUCCUCAAUGUUUGUAACUUGUGAAAGUUCAGUCCUGGUCACAUGCAUUGUCACUGUGCUUUGUGGGGUCUGUUUUCAAGGUACCAUGUUACCAUAUGGUCAUACACACACUCACAUACACACACAAACACUAGGUAUCACAGGAUGCAGGUAUAGAUAUGGUACCCCUUUGAAUGAAGCGUAGAAAUCUUACUUCCAUUUCUGUCCCUUUGCUCUCCUCACUUUUCAAAUAUAAUUUUCCUACAUAAUCUCCUCUGCAUACGUUGAUCACUACAAUAGAUAAUAAGUUCGCUUCGAUCCUAAAAUAUGAUUAAAGACACUCAGGAGGUGAAAGAUAGUCUAUUUUAUUUGCUUCUAUUUUUAUAUAUAAUUCUGUUUUCUUUCUUUCUGAGGGUCAACAUUUUCUUCUGCUACCAUUUUACUUUGUUUGGAGAGGUCCCUAUUACUAUUCUUUCAGGGUAUAUCUUGUAGUAACAUAUUCUCUUCGUUACAUUUUAACAGAAAAUGCUUUUUUUGUUUCAUUUCUGAAGGAUUAUUUCACCAGAUAUAGGAUUUUGAUUUUAUGUGUUUUUUUCUUUAAGUAUUUGAACAAUGUUGCCCCAAUUUCUUCUCAUUUCUGUCAUUUCAGAUGAGAAAUUCAUUGUCCUUUGAAUUGGUAUUUAAUAAAUAAUGUAUAUUUUUCUCUCUGUUUUUAAUCUUUUCUUGUUGCUUUCAGUUUUUGGAAGUUUAAUUAUGGCAUAUCUUGGUGUGGCUUUCUUUGGGUUUAUCUCAUUUGAAAUAUUCUCAGCUUCUUGAAUCUGUAGGUUGAUGUCUUUUUGCCAAAUUUGGGAAGUUUCUAGACGUUAUUUCUUUGAAAAGCAGUUCAGUCCUACACUUGUUUUUAUCUCUUUCUGUGACUCUAAUGAUAUAAAACUUAAGCCUUUUUUUAUUGACCCACAGAUCCCGAAUGCUCUGUUCAUUUUUUUUCCAUCAACUUCUCUUUCAUUCAAAUCAAGUAAAUUUUAUCCAUCUUCCUUCUGUUCCACUGAAUCUCUUCUAUCUCCACUCUACUAUUGAGCCUAUCCAGCUUGGUUUUUUUUCUUUCUUUUGCAUUUUUCAGUUCUAUAAUUCCCAUUUGGUCUUUCAAAAUAACUUCUACUUCGUUACUGAGAUUUUGUAAUUUUUUCAUUUGUCUCAAGAGAAUUGUAGUUUCUUGUCAAAGUAUUUUUUAUGAUGGCUGCUUUCAAAUCCUUGUCAGAUAAUUCUAACAUCUGAUUCAUCUCAGUAUUUGUAUCUGUGCUUAUUCUUUCCUCAAACUGCGGAUUCCCUGGUUCUUGGUAUAUUGAGUGAUUUUCAACUGUAUCCUGAAAAUGGUUAUUGUUCUUUAAAAGACAUUGAGUCCUAUUCAAGUCUUUUCUUUUAGCAGGCAUUAGGCUUGUUUAGGUUUGGCGUAUGUCUAGCAUAUAUUUUUGGUACGUGGUUUGAGUAACAGUUUAGUUUUCAGAGCCCUUUUAGUGCUUCUCUGUUCUGCUUUAUUCUUCUGGUGCUGCCGGGCUCACACCCAAUCCUGGCUGGUGCCGCCUGCAGCUAUAGAAAGUGCUUUCCUGGGCCACCUCCCAUGGGGUGGCAGAUGAUGCUGGUCCUUGGUCUCCUGAUGCCAUUGAAUACAGCACCAGGUGUGGAUCAGCCUAUGUGGGCUUCAUUGUUGCCACUGUGGGUGGGUCAGCUCGCUGGUGCUAUAGGUGUGUAGCAAUGGUUGAGUUGGUUCCCUGGUGCUCUGAUAUGCUGCAGGCAGAUUAGCCAACAAAUGCCCCAGGUGUGCAGCAGCUGUCUGCUUGCUGCCCCUUACCCCAGUUCUACAACCAGAGAAAGCUGCUUUUCUUGGAGUAUUUUGCCGAUGCCUAUUGGGGGUGUCCAGAUUGUAAUCCUUUCUGGUGGCAGCCUGGGAGAUGUGUGGGAAGUCAAAGUAAAACCAAGAGACUUCACCACUUUGUUAUUCAAGUCUUGAGGUCCCCAGCUAGUCUGCGUUCUUUCUUCCACAUUCAGAGUCCUUCCAUUGCUCUCUGUUGAGUCAUAUCUAGGAUUGCUAGUUGUAUUUAUGAGUGAAGAGUAGGAGAAAGUGCGUAUACACCACCUUGUCUUGGUACCAGAAGUUUCUGAGCCUCAGUUUCCAUAUCGUAAAAGGGAAAUAAGAAUACUUACCCCCCUAGGAUUUCUGCGAGAGUUAAAUGAGAUAAUGUAUUGAAAGUGUCUUGAUACAAGACCUGACAAAUUCAUGCAUGUAUGAUAAAUGGCUUACUAUUGUUAUAGAAUGGGAUAUGAUAUUAUUAUCUAUAUUUCUAAUGUGUCUUCCAAACUACAAUCUAAAUAUACAAGUAAAUCAAGUAUGUUUUAGGUUUUUCUCUGCCUCUCUUUACUCCCCAGCUCUCAAUAAACACUUAUACAUGAUUAAUUGUAAUUGAGUAAGGAGAAUAAAUUUAGAUGAGAAACAUAAAGAAUAGUUUUUAAAAAGACAGAGAGACUCUAGGAAGUGGUGUCAUGGGCUUUUAAGUUUAGAGUCAAGAAGCCCUGACUGUGAUAUGGGAGACAAAUUCAGGAACCUACAGGAGCCAGCUUCUUCAAAAUUAUCCACUUUUUGAUCCAUCUUUUAUCUUCUCAUUUUUAUUAUGACGUAGAUAUAGAAACUAUUUGUUUUCUUUUUUGUCUAUAAAAACAUCAGAGGUCCAACCACAGCAAUAUAUAGAAACUAACACUGAAGCUAGCUUCAGGGAGGCAAAAGGGAGUGGUGGGGAUUGUGGUAACAUGGUGUGGAUAUCAGCACACACCCUGUUGAAAGGGAGCAGCUGGCUUCCUCAGGCGGGAAGGGAGGGCUGGUGUUGCCUGAGCUUCCAGUUUUUGAUAAACUGAUAAGAACACAUAUAUUUGUGUCAAAUCUCCCAAUUUUAAAAUAGUGACUCAGAAAUAUCUAAAGCAGUAUGUGAGUAAAGUAAAAAAGAGUCCCAUGCCUGCAGGACAAAAUUGGGCACGUCAGGCUGUUGGGGCAUAUACUUUUUCUUUAAGUCACAAAGGAAUGAUUAUCUUGUCUGCUACUUUUGUUUCAG
rnacentral:lncRNA from 1 species